GACGAACGCUGGCGGCGUGCUUAACACAUGCAAGUCGAACGGUAAGGCCCUUCGGGGUACACGAGUGGCGAACGGGUGAGUAACACGUGGGUGAUCUGCCCUGCACUUCGGGAUAAGCCCGGGAAACUGGGUCUAAUACCGGAUAGGACCACUGCCUGCAUGGGUGGUGGUGGAAAGCUUUUGCGGUGUGGGAUGGGCCCGCGGCCUAUCAGCUUGUUGGUGGGGUGAUGGCCUACCAAGGCGACGACGGGUAGCCGGCCUGAGAGGGUGACCGGCCCCACUGGGACUGAGAGACGGCCAAGACUCAUACGGGAGGAAGCAGUGGGGAAUAUUGCACAAUGGGCGCAAGCCUGAUGCAGCGACGCCGCGUGAGGGAUGACGGCCUUCGGGUUGUAAACCUCUUUCAGCACCGACGAAGCGCAAGUGACGGUAGGUGCAGAAGAAGGACCGGCCAACUACGUGCCAGCAGCCGCCGUAA
rnacentral:rRNA from 1 species